UAAGUGAGGUCUGGCUUCCAGGACAGUACGAAUGCAAAGAGUGUUCUGUCUAAAAGAUCAAAUUUUCCCAGUCUGGAUUUCAGGCUAAAAACAGCAAAAAGAUGAAGAGAGAAUUUCACUGAGCGGCCUGCGGUUUCUUCAUGCAAGGAGGCGCAGCCAGGCUGUUCCUGGCAUUGGCAAUGUGCCAGGCACGGUUCUAAUUAACGAGUCAAUCUUCACAAGAACCCCGCGGAGACAGGGACCAUUAUUGGACCAUUAUGAUCCCCUAAUUACAGGAGAGGAAACCUAGGCAACGGAGGUAACGUCACAGAACCAGUCAGUCUCCCGUCCACAGGGAGUCCGGAGUCAGGAGACCUGGGCUCUGAGGAAGCGGUGCCAAGGCCAGGGUGCUCGGCUGGGCCAUUUACCGAGGAACGAGGGAGGCGCCAUCAGGUGGUUUCUAAGACCACUUCCAGCGCAGAGCGCCGGCCACUCUGCGUCCAGCCGAUGCUGGUGGGCGCGGGCUGCCGAGGAGGGUCACAGGCUCUUUUGAGAAUUUGAAGCCACGAGCCUUUCUGAAAAGGCAGAGAUCCAGUAUAACUUCGGGGAGUUUUGGGGUCCCUGAAGCACAGCUGUUGACCCCAAGUUGAGAAUUAAGGCUCUCAGAGGCCUUUCCCAGCUUUGUAAUUCUGUGUUCUUCGACCUUCCUGUCCCGGCCAUGUUUCAGAUGUCACCUACAUUAGCUGCCGGAUCGAUGGUUUUUUUCUUCUAAAGACUCCAAAAGAGACAAUAACCACUGCUUUGGUAGUAUGGGGCUUUAGUAUUUAUUGAUCAAGUUUGUGUGAUUCUUAAACUUGAAAGGCUAGUAAAUCGACUCUGCACAAAUUUAGGAUGAUGGAAAAUCUAAUGUGAACUUAUAAUCACUUCUGUGUGUUAACCUGUUUAACAAAUGUCAACCAGUUUAAGGGCUAACUUCUUUACAAUAUAAAAACGUUAU